rnacentral:rRNA from 1 species
UUCGUAGGCGGUGUGGCAAGUCGGGAGUGAAAUCUAUGGGCUUAACCCAUAGGCUGCUUCCGAAACUGCUGUGCUUGAGUGUGGGAGAGGCGCGUGGAAUUGCAGGUGUAGCGGUGAAAUGCGUAGAUAUCUGCAGGAACACCCGUGGCGAAAGCGGCGCGCUGGACCACAACUGACGCUGAGGAACGAAAGCUAGGGGAGCAAACAGGAUUAGAUACCCUGGUAGUCCUAGCCCUAAACGAUCAGGACUUGGGGUGCCGCCCGUUCGGGCGUCGUCCCGGAGCUAACGCGUUAAGUCCUGCACCUGGGGAGUACGGUCGCAAGACUGAA